CUGUGAAUAUUCUCAUGCUUCUGAUUUUGUAAAGGGCAGGCCAAACAGUCACUAUAUUAAGACCAUGCUUGUGUCCCCAGACCUAGUUCUUUCCAUCAGUCUGGCUUUAUAAAUGUUGAUGAUAAAC
rnacentral:snoRNA from 1 species